CUUCAGAAUCUAGCAGAUCGCACGGUCUAGAACCGGCGACAUAUCCUUCAAGUGUCUGCCUUAUCAACUGUCGAUGGUAGUUUAUUGGACUACCAUGGUUGUAACGGGUAACGGGGAAUUUGGGUUCGAUUCCGGAGAGGGAGCCUGAGAUACGGCUACCACAUCCAAGGAAGGCAGCAGGCGCGCAAAUUACCCACUCUCAGUGCGAGGAGGUAGUGACGAAAAAUAACGAGACAGUCUUCUAUGAGGUCUGUCAUCGGAAUGGGUACAAUUUAAACCCUUUAACGAGGAUCUAUUGGAGGGCAAGUCUGGUGCCAGCAGCCGCGGUAAUUCCAGCUCCAAAAGCGUAUACUAAAGUUGUUGCGGUUAAAAAG
rnacentral:rRNA from 1 species